CCAAUAGCGUAUAUUAAAGUUGUUGCAGUUAAAAAGCUCGUAGUUGAAUUUCGGGGUCAGUAGAUUGGUCAUGCCACUGGUAUGUACUGGUCUUACUGAUUCCUCCUUCCUGAUGAGCCGUAAUGCCAUUAAUUUGGUGUUGCGAGGAAUCUGGACUGUUACUUUGAAAAAAUUAGAGUGUUUAAAGCAGGCUAACGCUUGAAUACAUUAGCAUGGAAUAAUGAAAUAGGACGUUCGAUCUUAUUUUGUUGGUUUCUAAGAUUGACGUAAUGAUUAAUAGGGAUAGUUGGGGGCAUUAGUAUUCAAUUGUCAGAGGUGAAAUUCUUGGAUUUAUUGAAGACUAACUACUGCGAAAGCAUUUGCCAAGGAUGUUUUCAUUAAUCAAGAACGAAAGUUAGGGGAUCGAAGACGAUCAGAUACCGUCGUAGUCUUAACCAUAAACUAUGCCGACUAGGGAUCGGAUGAUGUUAAUUUUUUAAUGACUCAUUCGGCGCCUUACG
rnacentral:rRNA from 1 species